rnacentral:rRNA from 1 species
GACGAACGCUGGCGGCGUGCUUAACACAUGCAAGUCGAGCGGUAAGGCCCUUUCGGGGGUACACGAGCGGCGAACGGGUGAGUAACACGUGGGUGACCUGCCCUCAGCUCUGGGAUAAGCCUGGGAAACUGGGUCUAAUACCGGAUAUGACUCCAUGACGCAUGUUGUGGGGUGGAAAGCCUUGUGCGGCUGAGGAUGGGCCCGCGGCCUAUCAGCUUGUUGGUGGGGNGAUGGCCUACCAAGGCGACGACGGGUAGCCGGCCUGAGAGGGCGACCGGCCACACUGGGACUGAGACACGGCCCAGACUCCUACGGGAGGCAGCAGUGGGGAAUCUUGCGCAAUGGGCGCAAGCCUGACGCAGCGACGCCGCGUGAGGGAUGACGGCCUGG